rnacentral:rRNA from 1 species
UACGUAGGGGCUAGCGUUGUCCGGAAUCAUUGGGCGUAAAGCGCGUGUAGGCGGCCCGGUAAGUCCGCUGUAAAAGUCGGGGCUCAACCCUCGAAAGCCGGCGGAUACUGUCGGGCUAGAGUACGGAAGAGGCGAGUGGAAUUCCUGGUGUAGCGGUGAAAUGCGCAGAUAUCAGGAGGAACACCGAUUGCGAAGGCAGCUCGCUGGGACGUCACUGACGCUGAGACGCGAAGCGUG